rnacentral:rRNA from 1 species
AACACAUGCAAGUCGAACGGAAAGGCCCUGCUUGCAGGGUACUCGAGUGGCGAACGGGUGAGUAACACGUGGGUGAUCCGCCCUGCACUUCGGGAUAAGCCUGGGAAACUGGGUCUAAUACCGGAUAGGAGCCAUUUUUAGUGUGAUGGUUGGAAAGUUUUUUCGGUGUAGGAUGAGCUCGCGGCCUAUCAGCUUGUUGGUGGGGUAAUGGCCUACCAAGGCGGCGACGGGUAGCCGGCCUGAGAGGGUGGACGGCCACAUUGGGACUGAGAUACGGCCCAGACUCCUACGGGAGGCAGCAGUGGGGAAUAUUGCACAAUGGGCGCAAGCCUGAUGCAGCGACGCCGCGUGGGGGAUGACGGCCUUCGGGUUGUAAACUCCUUUCGCUAGGGACGAAGCUUUUUGUGACGGUACCUAGAUAAGAAGCACCGGCUAACUACGUGCCAGCAGCCGCGGUAAUACGUAGGGUGCGAGCGUUGUCCGGAAUUACUGGGCGUAAAGGGCUCGUAGGUGGUUUGUCGCGUCGUCUGUGAAAUUCCGGGGCUUAACUCCGGGCGUGCGGGCGAUACGGGCAUAACUUGAGUACUGUAGGGGUAACUGGAAUUCCUGGUGUAGCAGUGAAAUGCGCAGAUAUCAGGAGGAACACCGAUGGUGAAGGCAGGUUACUGGGCAGUUACUGACGCUGCGGAGCGAA